rnacentral:rRNA from 1 species
GGGUUCGGGCUCUUUUUGCGCAGUCUAGGUGGGAGGCGUUGAUAUUAGGUUUUCGGACCUAGUGGAGCCAUCAGUGAGAGACCACUCUGAAAGAGCUAGAAUCCUAAUAGGACUCCUUGAAUCAGGAUCCUUGACAGUUUCAGGCGGACAGUUUGUCUGGGGCGGAUACCUCCCAAAAGGUAACGGAGGUGUGCAAAGGUUCCCUCAGGCUGGACGGAAAUCAGCUGUAGAGUGUAAAGGUAAAAGGGAGCUUGACUGCAAGACCAACAAGUCGAGCAGGGGCGAAAGCCGGCCUUAGUGAUCCGACGGUACCAUGUGGAAGGGCCGUCGCUCAACGGAUAAAAGUUACUCUA